UCCCAUUAAAAUCACUGAGGAUUGAUGAACCUUUCUUUUUCUUGUUUUCAGGUGAUAACCAAUGUUGGUAAUAUGCAUCGAUGUAAGUUUCUAAAUCCAACACAGAAGGGGGUGGGGAGGCAGAGAAGAAGAGACAUUUCACACUUUACUAAGGCCUGAGUGCCAGAACCUUGCUUUGAAGCCCCAUCCCAGAAAUGAUUGGUUUCACAUGCUGAUUUUACCUUAUUCUGAGGUGCUUUAAACAUACCUAAAAGAGAAAGAGAAAAGAUAUGCCUAUUCUAUUAUUAAAGUCAGAAGAUAACAGAUGUUGGUGAGGUUGCAGAGAGAUGGGAACACUUACAUACUGCUGGUGGGGAUGAAAAUUAGUUCUGCCACAGUGGAAAGCAGUUUGGAGAAUUCUCAAAGAACUUAAAACAAAACUACCAUUUGACCCAGCAAUCCCAUUUCUGGGAUAUUCCUAGUGGAAUAGAAAUCAUUCGACCAAAAAAAAACCACAUGGACUGAUGUUCAUCUCAGUGCUAUUCACAAGAGCAAACACAUGGAAUCAACCUAGAUGCCCAUCCACAGUGGAAUGGAUAAGGAAAAUGUGGUACACAUGUACCAUGAAAUAAUAUGCAGCCAUAAAAAAGAACGAAAUCAUGUCCUUUGCAGCAACAUGGAUGCGAUGAGAAAUGAAUUUUGCUUGUGGUUUUUGUUGUGGUGAACAGAUCUUCCUGAAGAAGAAGAAGAAAAAGAUUUCUUAGACCAGAAAUAUUCUCAGGGUAUUGACAGAAAGUCCAUUAAGGAGUUUAAUUCUGCUGAAAUAAGAUCCCUAGCUGCCUUGUGCUGGAGGCAUCUCAUACAAAGGGUGCAAUUUGGAAACUUGAUUAAGUAAGUUCUGCUGCUCCUCCUUGGUAGAGUGGUACCCUGUCCAGUGGUCCACAGCUUCCUGAGCCCAUGCGUCCAAUUCAUCAUUACUGCACUUCAUAGUAAACUCCAGAGAGUCAGACCGGCUAGACUCCCAGCUCAACAAAUGUAUUAGCCAUGGGAUCAUAAGUCUAGGGAUUUUUUGUUGUUGUUGUUGGUUAUAUGAGUAAAAAUCUGAUUUAAAAAUUUACCUCACAGGGUUGUCCUAAGAAAAUAAUUUCUUUAAAACACCUAGCACAAUGUCCAACAUAUAGUAGAUGCUCAAAAAUUAUUGUUUUCUUUUUUGAAAACAUAUCCCUACCCAGAACUUACUCUCCCCUAAACAUUUUGGGGGGAAGAAAACUAAGUAAGUCUCAAUAAUGCAAAUAAGCAACUUACUAUGAACCUACAACUAUUCAAUCAAAACAGAAUGCAAACACUAUUUUUUUUCAAAAGUGUAUGCUAUACUAAUUACAUCCAAAGUACCUGCCUUCAAUAAUUUGUCCCAAAGGGAGAUUAUGCCUAUUGAUACGGGUCCUGGGUCUAAAUAACAAGUCAACAUGACUUUGAUUCGUUUCCAAUGUGUGUAGUUUAGAAAGAAAUCUGAAGAAUUUCCCAAAAGCUCUUCUUUCUUAAAAAUCCUUGAGGGAAAUUACAAGGGACUUUUAAUCUAGAACAGGGGACUCUUUCUCAGAUGUCUCAUGAACCAAAGUGAAAGAGAGGAUGUAACUAGGACCUGCUGGGCCCCAAGCUACCUUUGUUUAGGUAACCAUAACAAAGUGCCCAUCACCAUGUGGUCAAUUUCUUGAAAAACAGAG
rnacentral:lncRNA from 13 species